UAUUAAAAAUGUGUAAAUCUAUUUUUUUUGUUAACAACUCACGUGAGUAACAAAAUAACUAGACAAUUACAUACAGUAUGUUAUAUGCAUCUCAUUCUAACAUAUAAAAACUAAUUUUUAACAGUAAAAAUAGAUAAAAUUUUUGAUA
rfam:Gossypium raimondii Chr07_contig_472, whole genome shotgun sequence.